UAGCAAUACUGGGCUGACCUAGUGGCGAACGGGUGCGUAACACGUGACCAACCUGCCUAAAAGUGGGGGAUAGCUCGCCGAAAGGCGGAUUAAUACCGCAUGUGAUCGUAAGAUUAAAGCAGCAAUGCGCUUUUAGAGGGGGUCGCGGCCUAUCAGCUAGUUGGUGAGGUAACGGCUUACCAAGGCAGCGACGGGUAGCUGGUCUGAGAGGACGACCAGCCACACUGGAACUGAGACACGGUCCAGACACCUACGGGUGGCAGCAGUCGAGAAUUUUUCUCAAUGGGGGAAACCCUGAAGGAGCGACGCCGCGUGGAGGAUGAAGGCUUUCGGGUUGUAAACUCCUGUCAUCUGGGAACAAAACUCGCAAGAGCUUGAUAGUACCAGAAGAGGAAGAGACGGCUAACUCUGUGCCAGCAGCCGCGGUAAUACAGAGGUCUCAAGCGUUGUUCGGAUUCAUUGGGCGUAAAGGGCGCGUAGGCGGUGGGGUAAGUCUGGUGUGAAAUCUCGGAGCUCAACUCCGAAAUUGCACUGGAUACUGCUCUGCUAGAGGGCUGGAGAGGAGAUCGGAAUUCACGGUGUAGCA
rnacentral:rRNA from 1 species